rnacentral:tRNA from 1 species
GCUUGGGUCGCAUAGAGGUCGAUUGCGCCUGACUUGUAAUCAGGAGAGUUUAUACUCCACGUGGGUUCGAAUCCCACCUCAAGCU